UAUUAGUUUGUAGCUCAAACGGUUCGGACGCUACAGACAGAAGUUGGCACAUCGGCAUUACCGAAUUCAAACGAGUACGGUGACACUUGUGUGGGGCAGAGAACAACAUCGUGAGAGUCUCCCCUUUCCAUAGCGUGGUCAUAAUAAUUAUUGGGAAGCCCUACCCCCAUUGAAGUUUACAUUUAAAAUGGUUAAGGUAAGGGUUAUGGGUAGUGGUUUAGGGUAAGGACGUCCCAAGGAUCUUUGAAAAAAGAAGAAGAAUAAAGAAGAGGGGUAACCAUGACAACGAUCACACCAGGUGAUUUAAAAAUGGAGAAGGGAGAAAGGGCAGGCUUUUUCAGUGCUGCAGAGCAGCAAGUUAUACUUCAGCGGUUUGACGACCUAAAACAUAUUUUCUAUCACAAAAAUAAUACAACUGCUGCUGGAAAAGCUAGACGGGAAGCAUGGCAGAAAAUUGCCGAUUCAGUCAACGCGGUUAAUCCAUCUGGAGUAAAACGAAGUUGGCUGCAGGUCAAGGUGAAAUAUAAGAAUAUGGUACAAACAGCCAAAAAAGCAGAGAGGCAGAUGACCAGGGAAGGCCCACUGCAACCUGGCUUUUCUGCUGCAGAAGAACUGAUGGAUGAAACCCAAAAGUUCUGUUACACUAUAGACUGUAUGACAGCAGAAACCUCAUCCACAAAGCUCGAGUCAACACGCUCCAGCUCAAACUUUGUGAGAGUGCUAGAAAACCACAUGACAUCAGAGGAGACAGCAGCAGAAUCUGGGUCUGAAAUGUAUUUGAAUAAUGUACCAGUCGUAUACAUUGACAAUGCAGAAGAAAUCACGUCAGAAUCCUCUACACAGGAGGAGGGGGACAAACCAAGAAAGCCCUCAAGUGUCAAUGUGAAGGACUUGUAUAUGAAAUACUUGCAACAGGAGAUCAACUACAGGAAAUUAAAGAUGCAAAAGAUGACCUUGGAGAUGGAAUUACUUGAGAAACAAUUAAAUUGCCUCGUUGAAGCAGCUCUCUGGGCCUGGUUUAGGAUACAGGUAUGACGUCAUCAUGAAUGGAAGACGGGGAUACUCAUUGUCAGACACAAGACGGCCAUCAAAACAACCUGAAAAGUAGGGGAGGCACUACAAAAAGCUUGCCCAGCUGUCCAGAGUGGAUGCAGCUGAUGUGCAUGGAGAAAAAGACCUCAGCUUGACGCCACAAGAGGAUGGUAUGGUGGAAGUGAGAGUGGCGGAAGCAGACCAGGUCGAAGGUGAACACAGUGAAGGUGGACGCAGUGAAGGGGUGAGUGACCUGCAUCAAGACAGAUUUGACUCCCCAUUAACAGACUGACCUUAAAAAUGUUUUAGGUUUUCUGUGGAGGAGGAAGAUUUUGGAUGCAUUAACAUUGUUCAGCACAGGAUCUUGACUGGGGAAGCCCCUCCCACCCGAGAGCAGUUCCGCCCACUGCCCAUGAUGUACAAGGAGAUGAAGACCCUGCUUCAGGUA